rnacentral:rRNA from 1 species
UACGGAAGGCAGCAGUGGGGAAUAUUGCACAAUGGGCGAAAGCCUGAUGCAGCUAUGCCGCGUGUAUGAAGAAGGCCUUAGGGUUGUAAAGUACUUUCAUCGGGGAGGAAAAACAAAACUAAUAAUUUUAUUUCUUGACGUUACCCGAAAAAGAAGCACCGGCUAACUCCGUGCCAGCAGCCGCGGUAAUACGGAGGGUGCUAGCGUUAAUCAGAAUUACUGGGCGUAAAGAGCACGUAGGUGGUUUUUUUAAGUCAGAUGUGAAAUCCCUGGGCUUAACCUAGGAACUGCAUUUUGAAACUGAAAUACUAGAGUAUCGUAGAGGGAGGUAGAAUUCUAGGUGUAGCGGUGAAAUGCGUAGAUAUCUGGAGGAAUACCUGUGGCGAAAGCGGCCUCCUAAACGAAUACUGACACUGAGGUACGAAAGCGUGGGGAGCAAACAGGGAUUAGAUACC